CAUAUAUUAAAGUUGUUGCAGUUUAAAAGCUCAUAGUUGGAUUUGUGGCAUAUGGUGUGUUCCGGGCACUUGUUGUCUGAGUAACCUGCUGUUGCCAUCCUUGGGUGGAACCUGUGUGGCAUUAGGUUGUCGUGCAGGGGAUGCCCAUCAUUUACUGUGAAAAAAUUAGAGUGUUCAAAGCAGGCUUAUGCCGUUGAAUAUAUUAGCAUGGAAUAAUGAGAUAGGACUUUUUUACUAUUUUGUUGGUUUGCGUAAAGAGGUAAUGAUUAAUAGGGACAGUUGGGGG
rnacentral:rRNA from 1 species